AGGCUGAAACUCGCCUACAUGAAGCUGGAGUUACUAGUAAUCGCAGAUCAGAAUGCUGCGGUGAAUGCGUUCCCGGGUCUUGUACACACCGCCCGUCACACCACGGAAGUUGGGGGCGCCCGAAGGGCCACUUAGCUAACCCUUUUGGGAAGCGAGUGUCGAAGGUGAAAUCAAUAACUGGGGUGAAGUCGUAACAAGGUACC
rnacentral:rRNA from 1 species